AGGGCUUAACACAUGCAAGUCGAGGGGCAGCGGGGAGUAGCAAUACUCCGCCGGCGACCGGCGCACGGGUGCGUAACGCGUAUGCAACCUACCUUUAACAGGGGGAUAACACUGAGAAAUUGGUACUAAUACCCCAUAAUAUCAUAGAAGGCAUCUUUUAUGGUUGAAAAUUCCGAUGGUUAGAGAUGGGCAUGCGUUGUAUUAGCUAGUUGGUGGGGUAACGGCUCACCAAGGCGACGAUACAUAGGGGGACUGAGAGGUUAACCCCCCACACUGGUACUGAGACACGGACCAGACUCCUACGGGAGGCAGCAGUGAGGAAUAUUGGUCAAUGGACGCAAGUCUGAACCAGCCAUGCCGCGUGCAGGAAGACGGCUCUAUGAGUUGUAAACUGCUUUUGUACGAGGGUAAACUCACCUACGUGUAGGUGACUGAAAGUAUCGUACGAAUAAGGAUCGGCUAACUCCGUGCCAGCAGCCGCGGUAAUACGGAGGAUUCAAGCGUUAUCCGGAUUUAUUGGGUUUAAAGGGUGCGUAGGCGGUUUGAUAAGUUAGAGGUGAAAUUUCGGGGCUCAACCCUGAACGUGCCUCUAAUACUGUUGAGCUAGAGAGUAGUUGCGGUAGGCGGAAUGUAUGGUGUAGCGGUGAAAUGCUUAGAGAUCAUACAGAACACCGAUUGCGAAGGCAGCUUACCAAACUAUAUCUGACGUUGAGGCACGAAAGCGUGGGGAGCAAACAGGAUUAGAUACCCUGGUAGUCCACGCAGUAAACGAUGAUAACUCGUUGUCGGCGAUACACAGUCGGUGACUAAGCGAAAGCGAUAAGUUAUCCACCUGGGGAGUACGUUCGCAAGAAUGAAACUCAAAGGAAUUGACGGGGGCCCGCACAAGCGGAGGAACAUGUG
rnacentral:rRNA from 1 species